CUGUUGUAUAGUUUAAAACUACUGCACGAUGUCUUUGUGCACCAAAUACCGGCGAGAUGGCACCGUGUAGAAAAGUUCUCACCAUGUGCCUCUGAUACAUGAAAUGAUGGCCACCCAGUAACUCCACAGUAUGUCCCCAGAUGUUUCUUAAAGGGCCAGCAGCAGCACAAUACAAAUCUAUUAUGCCCAAAUCCAGGGCUGCCAUCAGAAAUUU